AGAAAGUGGGGAACAACACUUUGAGAGAUAAGGAGAAUUUUCGUGGAAAAGGAGGGGACCAAAAUAUUUUGAGUUUUUCUUAUUUGAUUUGGGUUUAAAAUAUGGAGAAGAUAAGUUGUAGUAGAAAUUGCACUAAUUAAAUGCCCAUUUAAGGGGGCUGAAAAUGACAGAAGGAGGACAUUCGGAGAGAAGGAUCCUCCCCCAUUUUUUGAGAGACGCGGCGCUGUUCCCUACCUUCUUUACAAGAGAACGAAACUCCCUCCUCUCAACACCUCCGGUCACUUCAACAGCCUCGCUCCCAUCAUCGGCGAACUCACCGGAAACACGAGGACAGUGGCGCCUCGUCUCUUCACAUCUCCGCCAGCCACAUCUCUGACUCUCACACCCAUCUCUCACUCUCACCUGAAACACACGCACUUAAGAGCCUACAUAAACGGGAUUGGAAUUUAAAAAGUCCAAAUCUCUAAUUUGAAGAACAAAAAUAAUCAAAAAAAGGAGUUCGAAAUUGCUCAAGUUGGUUACUACUGAUUUUCGAAUUGCUUUUCUCGGAAUUUCUGGAUGUCUGUUGUGUAAAAGUGACGAGAAUUUUGCCCUGCUCGCUGCUGUUCAAUUUUGAAGUUCUACUGUUUUCGUCCGCGUCUAGUGUAGUUGUGUUCGUGUUCUUAACCUUGAGGUUCGGAUCUCUGCGUUUUGUGUGUACCUGCAUCAGAUUGCUAAAACGCCGAAACAUUGAUAUCUACUUUCAAUUUUGUUAUAAUAUGGACUGUGUAGGAAAUUCACCUCUAUCAACUGAGAUGUUUUCAUAUGUGCCGAAACAGUGAUUUUAUUUGUUUUUAAAUCAUUUGCUUAGUCGAAAUCUCCAUGAUCUGGUUUGAGCUCAUGAAUGGAUUAACUGUGUGAAGCAUAUCUCAUGUUCACUGAUUUGGAGUUAACUUUCAUAGCUUUCUAUUUCA